rnacentral:rRNA from 1 species
CGUCCCGCCGGCGACCGGCGCACGGGUGAGUAACACGUAUGCAACCUGGCCGCCACAGGGGGAUAACCCGCGGAAACGCGGCCUAAUACCCCGUGACGCCACCGGAGGGCAUCCUCCGGUGGCCAAAGGAGCGAUCCGGUGGCGGAUGGGCAUGCGGCGCAUUAGCUAGACGGCGGGGUGACGGCCCACCUAACCGACGAUGCGUAGGGGUUCUGAGAGGAAGGUCCCCCACACUGGUACUGAGACACGGACCAGACUCCUACGGGAGGCAGCAG